UUUGUCAGUAAAGGAGCAAUUCGCUAUGAGAGGGGUCCGCGGCUGAUUAGCUAGUUGGUGAGGUAAUGGCUCACCAAGGCAACGAUCAGUAGCCGGUCUGAGAGGACGGUCGGCCACACUGGAACUGAGACACGGUCCAGACUCCUACGGGAGGCAGCAGUGGGGAAUUUUUCGCAAUGGGGGAAACCUGACGAAGCAAUGCCGCGUGGAUGAUGAAGUAUUUCGGUACGUAAAAUCCUUUCGACGGGGACGAAACCGCAAGGUUGACGGUACCCGUAGAAGAAGCCCCGGCUAACUCCGUGCCAGCAGCCGCGGUAAUACGGGGGGGGCAAGCGUUGUUCGGAAUUACUGGGCGUAAAGGGUGCGUAGGCGGCUUUCUAAGUUGGAUGUGAAAACUCUGGGCUCAACCCAGAGACUGCAUCCAAAACUGGAGAGCUUGGGUUCUGGAGGGGAAAGCGGAAUUCCUGGUGUAGCGGUGAAAUGCGUAGAUAUCAGGAGGAACACCGGUGGCGAAGGCGGCUUUCUGGACAGAUACCGACGCUGAGGCACGAAAGCUAGGGGAGCAAACAGGAUUAGAUACCCUGGUAGUCCUAGCCCUAAACGAUGGUACUUGCUGUGAGGGGGAUUGAAACCCUUGUGGCGAAGCUAACGCAUCAAGUAUCCCGCCUGGGGAGUACGGUCGCAAGGCUGAAACUCAAGGGAAUUGACGGGGGCCCGCACAAGCGGUGGAGUAUGUGGUUUAAUUCGACGCAACGCGAAGAACCUUACCUGGGCUCGAACGGCUAGUGACAGGAGAUG
rnacentral:rRNA from 1 species